ensembl:lncRNA
CAGCCGAGGUGUUGUGAUUUCAGUCUAACCAGCUUCAGUCCUGUCACAACAGUGAGGGGCGACUUUUCGCUACGCUGGCGCUCUGGGAAUACUAACCAUUUCAAAAACUACUAGCUAAAACUAACAACCCCGCUUUUUUUCCUUCGUUAUCCACGAGACUUUACAGCUUGUUCUCUGCGACAGUAUCUCAGAAACACUGCGACGUGUGUAUUUUCAAGGUGGAAGCACGAAGAUUCACUGACAGCUGGAGUGUGUACCAAGCUGGUCUAGUUACCUGUUUGGUGGAUGACUGGAUUCAGCAGACUGUUUGAAAAGUUAAGGCCUGGGGAAAGUUAAUGAGAAGAUUCGAUCAGCUGGCAAACCACCCCCACCACCCCCGCCCCCACCUUCCUCGACGCCAUCCUCUUAUCCCAGCCAUUGUCUUUGUCCAGUGUUGCUGUGACUCACUGACAUAGUUGGACGCUGAGCUCCAAACACCCGGAAACUGGCAAACGUGAGCUUAAGAUUGUCGGAGGGGGAAAAAAAACGGAUGGCGUUGACAAGGCAACAGGAGCUCAUUAUCUCGUCGUCUAUGC